UACAGAGGUGGCAAGCGUUGUUCGGAAUUACUGGGCGUAAAGGGCGCGUAGGCGGUCUUGUAAGUCUCGUGUGAAAUCCCUCGGCUUAACUGAGGAACUGCACGGGAUACUGCUUGACUUGAGUUCGGGAGAGGGAAGCGGAAUUCCGGGUGUAGCGGUGAAAUGCGUAGAUAUCAGGAGGAACACCGAUGGCGAAGGCAGGUCACUGGGCCGCAACUGACGCUGAGGAGCGAAAGCAUGGGGAGCGAACAGG
rnacentral:rRNA from 1 species